AAGCCAGAAACUGUGUUUCAUUUCAACCUUCUCCGUGACACAUUUCUGAAGUGGCUCCUGGGGAGAUCUGCUUUGCUCCGUCGCCAGUGAACCCACAACCUGUUACCACACAAAACCCAGCCGCCCCGGGAGGAUUCUGAUUCUGAGGUGUCCACCUCGCCCCGCAUUAAGAUCACCGAAAGGAAAUCGCCUGAAGCAACAAGGCUUAAAAUAGACAAGAAGAGCCCUGGUUUUCGUGUCAGAAAGUCUCCAGUUGGACCAACGCCAGUGUGGACAGCUUGGAGCCCCCGAAUAAGACAUUUGGUCUCAUGUCUCACGGCUUUCUUGACAUCAAAGGCCCUGUAGAGAACAAGAUGGAGUCACUCAUGUCAAGUAGUGAUGUAAUCAGGAAAGCAGGCAAAGGUGUUGCACCUAAGACCAGAUACCACCCAACCCAGCAGACUGACCGGGACUAAGGACCGUUCAUUCAUAAGGCCACAUCAACCUGGAAGGACCAGGAGCUGAUAACCAAUAGAAUCAGAAGAGGCCUGCAAAGGCCCAAGACUGAUUGAACUCUUGAAAAGGACGGACUCUUGCAACAAAUUGUCAAAUUCUCCACACGUUGGCUCUUACACAUCUGACCACAUUUGAAAGGCCACAGCCAACAAAGGCUGUGCCUCGUUGAUCUCUGAACAUGACAGAGAUCCUUCACUGCGGUACCCACCGAGAGCUGAUCCAGACCGGACCUAGGAGCCAACCCAACUGCACGCCCGAGGAUUGACUUCGCGUUUGGUUCAUUGAUUUCUUACUCCUUAUUGUAUCUUGUGUGUUGCAUGACUUUGUCCCGUGCUUUGUUUUGUGUGCUGUGGAGGAAGCCAAGUUACACGUGCAGUGAAACGUCAUAGAGUUUGGAAUCCUGAACCUGCUUUACAAGUAUGUUAACCUUGCAUUAGGAUUGAAUAAAGCCAACACUGUAGAAAGACACAACCUCAGGAGGUGCCUUCGUAAUGUGCUUGCUACAGACCCAGAUUGAAAAAGUAAGAAAAACAGAAAAGUAACUCUGUGUUUGGCAAAACUUGAAUUUACUGAGUAGAUCCAUCUGUAGUUCUGGGAGACGGAUUUUCGCAAAAAUCACUUGCAAAACUACAUUCUUUUUCUAGCUUUUUCCAGUGCUUCAUUUCAGUGAUCCUUAUUCUCAGCUGAAGUUCAUACCUACCAGGAAUGUUGUGGGGACUAAUUAAAUAAAGUACAUUUUAACCACCAGGCAGUGCCAAGUAUUUUAUUAAAUUCUGGAAACAUUUUCCCCUUGCCUGAAGGAAAUGGAGGAAC
ensembl:lncRNA